AUGUCAUCACCGAUUAUCCAUUUAAAAUUGGCCCGAAUAACAAGUCGAAUCAAAACUUCUCUUAUAUUUAACACAAUUAAACAUGAUAUCGAUACAAUACUAUCACCCUAUUCCGACACAAACAAGAAAACACAUAGUUUAGAAUUUAUCAUAUCUUCGACACCACUCAACAAUUUAUAUCAAAUCGAAAACACCAUAGGCAGCAGCAAUUUCUGGAUUUCUACACAACUGUUCAACUCAAUUUCUGGAUUUCUAGCAGUUUUCAAACAACACAAGUUUUUCAUCAUAACAGUUCAAAUCAAAUUUUGUAACAACCAUUCAUCGCAACAUCUUGACGAUAACUCAAUUUAA